rnacentral:ncRNA from 1 species
CCUGUGGAGUGUUAUAGCAAACGAAAGUAGUCGCAGUUUGACGAAAUCGGACACAAGGAAGCAGGAA